rnacentral:rRNA from 1 species
UACGAAGGGUGCAAGCGUUACUCGGAAUCACUGGGCGUAAAGCGCACGUAGGCGGACUUACAGGUCCGUUGUGAAAUCCCUGGGCUCAACCCAGGAACUGCAGUUGAAACCGUUUGUCUUGAAUAUCUGAGAGGGUGGGGGAAUACCUGGUGGAGAAGUGAAAUUCGUAGAGAUCAGGUGGAACACCCGUGGCGAAAGCGGCGCGCUGGACCACGACUGACGCUGAGGAACGAAAGCGAGGGGAGCAAACAGG